ensembl:lncRNA
GUCCUGGAGAACAGGUAACGGAGGACAUCAGGUGGGUGUUGGGCAGAACCCCUAGGUCCUGGAGAACAGGUACAUCAGGUGGGUGUUGGGCAGAACCCCUAGGUCCUGGAGAACAGGUAAUGGAGGACAUCAGGUGGGUGUUGGGCAGAACCCCUAGGUCCUGGAGAACAGGUAACGGAGGACAUCGUUGGGUCUGGGUGUUGGGCAGAACCCCUAGGUCCUGGAGAUCAAGAGCAGAGUUAGAGGUUAGGAGACAGACGUCAACAAGCAAACACACAGUUUACACUUUACUGGGAGAACAUUUUGAUGGAUUAGUGCAGUGUUAUAAAUGGGAGAUAUUUACUUUUCAACACUUGGAUGGUACAGCCUACCUCAAGCUGGUCCCCCUCUGACUCCGAGCACAGAUAAUCAGACUGAUCUGAACUCACUGGUUCUGGUGGAUGGGAUACUUCCUAGGGAGCUCAGACAGUUAAUGGUCCUCAAGUCAUUUGGAG